rnacentral:rRNA from 1 species
UACGUAGGGUGCGAGCGUUGUCCGGAAUUAUUGGGCGUAAAGAGCUCGUAGGCGGUUUGUCGCGUCGGCCGUGAAAACUUGGGGCUUAACCCCAAGCCUGCGGUCGAUACGGGCAGACUUGAGUACUGCAGGGGAGACUGGAAUUCCUGGUGUAGCGGUGGAAUGCGCAGAUAUCAGGAGGAACACCGGUGGCGAAGGCGGGUCUCUGGGCAGUAACUGACGCUGAGGAGCGAAAGCGUGGGGAGCGAACAGG